UACCGGCGGCUCGAGUGGUGGCCACUAUUACUGGGCUUAAAGCGUCCGUAGCUUGGUUGUUAAGUCUCCUGGGAAAUCCAUCGGCUCAACCGAUGGGCGUUCAGGAGAUACUGGCAACCUAGGGACCGGGAGAGGUGAGAGGUACUCCAGGGGUAGGAGUGAAAUCCUGUAAUCCUUGGGGGACCACCUGUGGCGAAGGCGUCUCACUAGAACGGCUCCGACAGUGAGGGACGAAAGCUGGGGGAGCAAACCGGAUUAGAUACCCGGGUAGUCCCAGCUGUAAACGAUGCGCGUUAGGUGUAUCGGUGACCACGAGUCACCGAGGUGCCGAAGGGAAACCGUGAAACGUGCCGCCUGGGAAGUACGGUCGCAAGGCUGAAACUUAAAGGAAUUGGCGGGGGAGCACCACAACAGGUGGAGCCUGCGGUUUAAUCGGAUUCAACGCCGGA
rnacentral:rRNA from 1 species